GACGAACCGUGCAAACGUUGUUCGGAAUCACUGGGCUUAAAGGGCGCGUAGGCGGUGUGUUGAGUCGGUGGUGAAAUACUUCGGCUCAACCGGAGAAUUGCCGCCGAAACUGGCACGCUGGAGGGAGGUAGAGGUGCGUGGAACUUCCGGUGGAGCGGUGAGAUGCGUUGAUAUCGGAAGGAACACCUGUGGCGAAGGCGGCGCACUGGACCUCUUCUGACGCUGAGGCGCGAAAGCUAGGGUAGCGAACGGGAUUAGAAC
rnacentral:rRNA from 1 species